rnacentral:rRNA from 1 species
ACAUAACUGAUGCCUCCGCGUAUCGACUUUGUGCGCAUUUUAGCUAUUAUGUGUUCUUUUAAUUAAAAUGAUUCUUUUUAAGAUUCAUCUAUUAAAAAUUUGCUUCGGCAUAAUUUUUUUUGAUGAUCUUGUUACUUUGAGUAAAUUAGAGUGUUCAAAGCAAACAGAUAUAGCAUUUGUGCGUUUGAAUACUACAGCAUGGAAUAACAAAAUUGAACAAGUCAGAAUUUUUUUGUUCUUUUUUCUUAUUUUGGCUUAGUUACGAUUAAUAGGAGUAGCUUGGGGGCAUUUGUAUUCAGAUGUCAGAGGUGAAAUUCUUAGAUUUUCUGGAGACAAACAACUGCGAAAGCAUUUGCCUAAAAUACUUCCAUUAAUCAAGAACGAAAGUUAAGGGAGUGAAGACGAUCAGAUACCGUCGUAAUCUUAACCAUAAACUAUGCCGACUAGGCUUUGGAUGAAAGAUUUUAAAAUAAGAGUUUUUCUUUUCUCUCCGGAGACUAGAACUCUUAGAUUGCUUCCUUCAGUGCCUUAUGAGAAAUCAAAGUCUUUGGGUUCUGGGGCGAGUAUUCGCGCAAGCGAGAAAGUUAAAAGAAUUGACGGAAGGGCACCACCAGGCGUGGAGCUUGCGGCUUAAUUUGACUCAACACGGGAAAACUCACUAGUUUAAGACAAGAGUAGGAUUGACAGAUUAAUAGCUCUUUCUUGAUUUCUUGGAUGGUGAUGCAUGGCCGUUUUUAGUUCGUGAAUAUGAUUUGUCUGGUUAAUUCCGAUAACGAACGAGAUCUUAACCUGCUAAUUAGCGGCAAAUACGAUAUAUUCUUAUGUAGAAUUGAAUAUAGUGGAUUUGUUAGAUUUUGAAGAAAAUAUUGGAAUUACGUUAAAUGUGAUUCCUUUCCCUUUUCUACUUAAUUUACAUUUCCAUCUAUUUCUUUUUUGCGUAUGAAUGUAUUUGCUUGAUUGUAAAGCUUCUUAGAGGAACGAUGUGUG